UCCUGGCAGCUCAGUGGUAAAGAAUCUGCCUGCAAUGCAGGAGACACGAGUUCGAUCCCCGAGUCAGGAA
rnacentral:tRNA from 1 species